rnacentral:RNase_P_RNA from 1 species
CUAGGAAGAAGGAUGAUUAUCCCGCACUAAAUUGAUGAGGGAAGGAAAGUCCAGACAGCGUAGAGUAGGGUGGUUACUGCAAGGUAACGGUCGCAAGAUCCAGUUAGAGCAACAGUGACGAACCGAGGUUAUGCUCGGGUGAAACGUGGCAAUCCUCCCCGCUGCAAUCCUAGAACCGACAGGACUACUCGUCCAUUUGUCGAAGUAAGGAGCAUUAGAUAAAUUAUCAUCUUGUAACAGAAUCUGGCUUACUAUCUUCCUAGGCAC